rnacentral:rRNA from 1 species
CGUAGGUGAACCUGCGGAGGGAUCAUUACACAAAUAUGAAGGCGGGCUGGAACCUCUCGGGGUUACAGCCUUGCUGAAUUAUUCACCCUUGUCUUUUGCGUACUUCUUGUUUCCUUGGUGGGUUCGCCCACCACUAGGACAAACAUAAACCUUUUGUAAUUGCAAUCAGCGUCAGUAACAAAUUAAUAAUUACAACUUUCAACAACGGAUCUCUUGGUUCUGGCAUCGAUGAAGAACGCAGCGAAAUGCGAUAAGUAGUGUGAAUUGCAGAAUUCAGUGAAUCAUCGAAUCUUUGAACGCACAUUGCGCCCUUUGGUAUUCCAAAGGGCAUGCCUGUUCGAGCGUCAUUUGUACCCUCAAGCUUUGCUUGGUGUUGGGCGUCUUGUCUCUAGCUUUGCUGGAGACUCGCCUUAAAGUAAUUGGCAGCCGGCCUACUGGUUUCGGAGCGCAGCACAAGUCGCACUCUCUAUCAGCAAAGGUCUAGCAUCCAUUAAGCCUUUUUUCAACUUUUGACCUCGGAUCAGGUAGGGAUACCCGCUGAACUUAAGCAUAUCAAUAAGCGGAGGA